rnacentral:lncRNA from 1 species
GCGGCCGCGGGCUCGUUCCUGUAGAGCGGCGCUCCCGCCAACAAUGGGAUCCCGGUUCCUCUCGUGUCCCCGCGUGGUGCUGAACCCACAGCCCCACACUUGUGGGGCGCGCCCCAUAGCGGGGCUUCCGCAACCCCACACUGUGCCCCACAACCCCACACUGUGCCCCACAACCCCACGUUGUGCCCCACACAUUGCCCCAUAACCCCAUAUAGCGCCCCAGAACCCCACACAUUGCCCCAUAACGCCACAUGCUGCCCCACACAUUGCCUCAUAUCCCCCCUAGUGCCCCAUAACCCCACACGCUGACCCACACAGCGCCCCAUAACCCCACAUUGUGCCCCACACAUUGCCCCAUAACCACCCCAGUGCCCCACAACCCCACCGUGUGCCCCACACAUUGCUCCAUAACCCCACACACUGCCCCACACAUUGCCCUGUAACCCCACACUCUGCCCCAUAACUCCUCCAGUGCCCCAUAGCCCCACAUGCUGCCCCACAGAGCCCCAUAACUUCACACAGCGCCCCACAGCCCCUCUUUGCCCCAUAACCCCACAUACUGCCCCACACAUUGCCCCAUAACCCCACACAUUGCCCCAUAACUCCNUCACGGGGCCGGUCGUGGUGUCACGGUGUUGGCGUGGGGCUGGUCACGGUGUUGCCAUGGGGCCGGUCGCGGUGUCACGGUGUUGGUGUGGGGCCGGUCACGGUGUCACGGGGAUGUCACAGUGUUGGUGUGGGGCUGGUCGUGGUGUCACGGUGUUGGUGUGGGGCCGGUCGUGAUGUCACGGUGUUGUCACGGGGCCAGUCGUGGUGUCACGGUGUUGGUGUGGGGCCGGUCGCGGUGUUGGUGUGGGGCCGGUCACGGUGUCACAGUGUUGUCACGGUGUUGGCGUGGGGCCGGUCGCGGUGUCACGGUGUUGUCACAGUG